rnacentral:rRNA from 1 species
UACGUAGGGGGCAAGCGUUGUCCGGAUUUAUUGGGCGUAAAGAGCGUGUAGGCGGCCAUGUAGGUCCGUUGUGAAAACUCGAGGCUCAACCUCGAGACGCCGAUGGAACCAUGUGGCUAGAGUCCGGAAGAGGAGAGUGGAAUUCCUGGUGUAGCGGUGAAAUGCGCAGAUAUCAGGAGGAACACCAAUGGCGAAGGCAGCACUCUGG